AUAUAUAUAUAUAUAUAUGUAUACACUUUAAACAUAAUCUCCAAUUCACUCUAAGUCCAUUAAUACAAUCAAACUCAUUCCUUCCUAGGGCUGCCGAAAAUUCAUGUACACAUACACAUGAGUUUGGUUCAUUUAUUUCACAAUUUCUUACCUAUUACACAUCUCUAACAUGGAAUUAAUGAGUUUUAACUACAUAUGUGCACUAACCUUUAAGUGGCAGAAUUUCUCCAAGCUUAACUUCACUUUCCUUGUACUCUCUUGGCUGCCAAACACUUCCUCUAGGUCCAAGGAUUCAUUUUAGUGUUGGGGUCUUGAGGAAAUAUGGUGAGGAAGCAUGAGAAAUGAAGCUUUUGUUUGAAAAUCAAUGGAGGGAGAAGAGGGAGAGAUUCACGUCUUGAGGAAGAAGAAGAAGAAGAGCAGCUGGUUUUUAAUUCCUUUAGCCCAUUUUUAGUCUCUUUUAUUGGUUAACUAAUUGGUUAUUUUAUUGUGAUUGGAGGAAAUUUUUAAAUGACAUCAUAAUUUGUCAUAAUUUGCUUUUUAUUUCA
rnacentral:misc_RNA from 1 species